UUCUGGAACACAAAUCGGAAACAAAAAAGGAACAAAAUUGUGUUCCUUUUUUAUUUCUGAUUUGUGCUCGAACAGGCCUCCUCUCCCCCCCGCGACGAGCUUCCUCCUGCGACCUGCGACAAGCGACGAGCGACGGGCGAAGAGCUUCUCCUCCGGCGACGUGCGACGAGCGACGAGCUUCUCCUCCUCCGACCUGCGACGAGCGUCUCCCCCUGCGACGAGCGCCUCCUCCUGCGAGCAGAGAAAUCCAUCGUCUUCUCCGGCGCCUGUCUCCGACGAGCGCCUCCUCCAGCCGCUGCUCCUUCACCAGGUUCGUUUGUGCUUAGAUCGCCAGGAUUAUGUCUGUGCACAGCACAUAUCCUUUCCAGGAAGAUCAGCCCCAGAAUGUUUGAUGCAAUUCCUUCCGAAGAGAAAAAAAAGCCUAAAGAAGGUGAAAGCAUUGUGGAAGAAGCACUAGCUGAUAUUUCAUCACUUCUGGAGUUGAAAUGGAUAUGCUAUGACUCAUGAUAUGGUAAAUUGGUGUUCUGCUUUUUCUAGUGAUGUGCCCACUAUCUUUUAACUGAUGUUUUUUGCCGAUCAAGUGCCACCUAGUGUUCAGGUAUAGGUAUUGCUUGCCCAACAAUGAUUAACUUGAGAUAUGUCGAUGCUACAAGGCAAUAGUUGAGAUUCCAUCAGUGAAAGGAAACCCAGAGCAGUGGACAUUGGUGAAGGGAAACCCGGAGCAGUGUACACUGAUUCCAGGGAAAAUCUGCUGGUGCUUGGUUCUAUCACCACAUGAUCCUAUGCGUCAAGCCUUCUUAGUGCCUCUUUAGAGGAUACAAAUCUCUCAGAAAAUUCCAAUUGAGGUACCAUCUAUGAAUUGUUGUGGGUAAUUGGCUGUACAUCUUGAAAUAUCACAGUA